rnacentral:rRNA from 1 species
AAAAGCUCGUAGUUGGAUCUCAGCUCCUGCCGGACGGUCCGCCUACCGGUGGUUACUGUUCGCCGCAGAGCGUUCGGACAGCUGCUUUUGAUGAUCUUUACCGGUUGUCUCGGGUGGCUGUCAAGUUUACUUUGAAAAAAUUAGAGUGCUCAAAGCAGGCGUGAUGCCUGAAUAAUUGUGCAUGGAAUAAUGGAAUAGGACCUCUGUUCUAUUUUGUUGGUUUUCGGAACACGAGGUAAUGAUUAAGAGGGACAGACGGGGGCAUUCGUAUUGCGACGCUAGAGGUGAAAUUCUUGGACCGUCGCACGACGAACUACUGCGAAAGCAUUUGCCAAGAAUGUUUCCAUUAAUCAAGAACGAAAGUUAGAUGAUCGAAGGCGAUCAGAUACCGCCCUAGUUCUAACCAUAAACGAUGCCAGCCAGCGAUCCGGCUGUGUUCCUCAAAUGACACGCCGGGCAGCUUCCGGGAAACCAAAGCUUUUGGGUUCCGGGGGAAGUAUGGUUGCAAAGCUGAAACUUAAAGGAAUUGACGGAAGGGCACCACCAGGAAUGGAGCCUGCGGCUUAAUUUGACUCAACACGGGGAAACUUACCCGGCCCGGACACAGGAAGGAUUGACAGAUUAAGAGCUCUUUCUUGAUUCUGUGGGUGGUGGUGCAUGGCC